rnacentral:rRNA from 1 species
GUAACACGUGUGCAACCAACCCCGUACCGGGAGAUAACCCGCGGAAACGUGGACUAACAUCCCAUGAUACUCGAGAGCCGCAUGGCUCUAGAUUUAAAAUUCCGGUGGUACGGGACGGGCACGCGCGACAUUAGGUAGUUGGCGGGGUAACGGCCCACCAAGCCGACGAUGUCUAGGGGUUCUGAGAGGAAGGUCCCCCACACUGGAACUGAGACACGGUCCAGACUCCUACGGGAGGCAGCAGUGAGGAAUAUUGGUCAAUGGGCGAGAGCCUGAACCAGCCAAGUCGCGUGAGGGAAGAAUGGUCUAUGGCCUGUAAACCUCUUUUGUCAGGGAAGAAUAAGGAUGACGAGUCAUUCGAUGCCAGUACUUGACGAAUAAGCAUCGGCUAACUCCGUGCCAGCAGCCGCGGUAAUACGGGGGAUGCGAGCGUUAUCCGGAUUUAUUGGGUUUAAAGGGCGCGUAGGCGGGACGUCAAGUCAGCGGUAAAAGACUGCAGCUAAACUGUAGCACGCCGUUGAAACUGGCGCCCUGGAGACGAGACGAGGGAGGCGGAACAAGUGAAGUAGCGGUGAAAUGCAUAGAUAUCACUUGGAACCCCGAUAGCGAAGGCAGCUUCCCAGGCUCGUUCUGACGCUGAUGCGCGAGAGCGUGGGUAGCGAACAGGAUUAGAUACCCUGGUAGUCCACGCCGUAAACGAUGCUCACUGGAUCUUGGCGAUACACUGCCAGGGUUCAAGCGAAAGUAUUAAGUGAGCCACCUGGGGAGUACGUCGGCAACGAUGAAACUCAAAGGAAUUGACGGGGGCCCGCACAAGCGGAGGAACAUGUGGUUUAAUUCGAUGAUACGCGAGGAACCUUACCCGGGUUUAAAUGUAGAUUGCAUGAGGUGGAAACGCUUCUUCCCUUCGGGGCUAUUUACAAGGUGCUGCAUGGUUGUCGUCAGCUCGUGCCGUGAGGUGUCGGGUUAAGUCCCAUAACGAGCGCAACCCCUAUCGCCAGUUGCCAUCGGUUGAAGCCGGGCACUCUGUCGAGACUGCCACCGUAAGGUGCGAGGAAGGCGGGGAUGACGUCAAAUCAGCACGGCCCUUACACCCGGGGCGACACACGUGUUACAAUGGCCGGUACAGAGGGCAGCCACGGGGUGACCCGGAGCGAAUCUCUAAAGCCGGUCGUAGUUCGGACUGGAGUCUGCAACCCGACUCCACGAAGUUGGAUUCGCUAGUAAUCGCGCAUCA